AACGUAGGACGCAAGCGUUAUCCGGAGUUACUGGGCGUAAAGCGCGGGCAGGCGGUCUUGCCAGUCUGAUGUGAAAUCUCCUCGCUCAACGGGGAGCAGCCAUUGGAAACUACAAGACUGGAGUCUGGCAGAGGUAGGCGGAAUUCCGGGUGGAGUGGUGAAAUGCGUAGAGAUCAGGAAGAACACCCGUGGCGCAAGCGGCCACCUGGCAGAGUUCUGACGCUGAGGCACGAAAGCGUGGGGAGCAAACAGG
rnacentral:rRNA from 1 species